UAUGGAGAUAGUUGAUACCCUGCGGGCCUAGCAUGACCGCCAUAGAAACAGCUUUUGUCUACCGGAGAAUCGACAAAAUGACAGAUUGAAGAAAGAUUUCUAUCGACCCGAGCAUGGCGAUGUUUGACAUCGAGAAAAGAAAUGUUUCUUUUCUUCGUCGACAUGUGUCUAUCGCGUCGAGCAUGACGACUAUAUUUUCUCUACUUUUGACAUUUGGGAGUAGAUAUAACUUUCUAUAUGAAAUGUCAAAUACUCUACAUCUCAUCGGACCUAGACAAGAGUAGACAAGAAUAUUAUUAUAAUUUUAAGAUCUCAAAAAGCAUUUACAAAGUAUGUCGGGGUCCUACCGUCGUCAUGUGGUCAGUUUUUAUGCUGAGAAGAAUCAGUGUAAAGCUCAAAGAACGAGCUAUACGAGUGUUAAGCCUCUCGACAUUGAAAACGUAAAUGUGCAGAGAUGGUGCAGUAUUUGUGCGGAAUCUGUCUCCUAGGAUAUCUUAGGGUCUGCCUGUUCAUAUCAAUGUUCUUUGUUCGGGUCCUGCUUAGGUCAUUAACAACAUUACUGACCACUGUUAGCAAAUUUUUUAAGCAAUUUGUUUUUGCAGUGAAUACAAGGGGAUUCUAGUCAUGCGUUAGGGUCUUGACUCAUGACAUCAAUAAGAAUGCUGAUAAUGUGUCACUAUCAGUAUGUUAUUCUUUUAUUAUACUGUAAAAUAAUUCUUGUAAAAACUCUUUACCAAACAGUUAUUUCUUUUUGCAGGGUGCCUAUACUACAACUCUUCCCGAAGAAAGGCAGAAAGAGAGACACACUAAUGACCUUAGCGGUAGCUUACUACAAGCUGCAACUCACAGAAGAGCAACUAUUAUGAAUAUCUUUGUAUAUCAACAGUUCUUCAAACCAUACAGACAGAAUUGAGUUGCUGGGGAGUUUGUUCCACCGCUUCUGCUGCUGAUUUUCAGCCUAUUUUGAAUAAAUGACUUUAUCUGUAGCCUUAAUUUUAUGUAAAUAAACCUUUACCUCUGUGUAAA